GCUUCCGUAGCUCAGUUGGUUAGAGCUUCGUACUAAUAAACCUGGUCCAACGACCAGAUCUGUUAGUGAUGCGGAGGCCGCAGGUUCAAGCCCUGCCGGGAGCA